rfam:Salmo salar isolate Sally breed double haploid chromosome ssa01, whole genome shotgun sequence.
AAUGCACCAAUUUGUAAGUCGCUCUGGAUAAGAGCGUCUGCUAAAUGACGUAUA